CCAAAAUAGGAGUGGAUUCGUUUCCAUUCUCACGAUUGCUGGUGGUCUGGAUUAGCAUCGAGCUUUACUUACCGACAUUGAAACAAGACGGGAUUUCCUCCGAAGCUGUUGCUUAUGCAUGGACCGAAUCUCAUGGAAAAGGAUCUGAUGAGUGAGUCCUGCUUAUUUUGGGAAUGAGCUAUUGACAGUUCUCGGAGGAUCGAGAUGCGGUUUUGCUCAGGAAGGAUGGACACUGCGUUGAGCUUUGCAAUCAAUAUCAUAGCAACAGUGCACUCUCGGCAAAGCGCAGAUGUAUAAGCUCGCCUCGCCGAUGGAAAGAGGUCAUGGGACGGCGGCUCUGCCAAUAGGUCCUGAGCGAGCAGCUGGUGAAGGUUGUGAUGGUGGAGCUUGAUUUUUCGGAGGCUCUUCGAAUUGUGCGGAUUCGGGAGGAGUUGCGCAGGACAAUGUAAAGUCGUUACGGAUUAUUGGCCGAUGUGUAUGUCCGUGCUUGAAUUUUGUCUUGGUGAUUCAAUCGUCGUUCUUCUAUAUUUGAUGGCGUGAAGUCCUUAUGGAAUACAUGGGUAAAGUGGAGUAAGAAGCGAUCAAUAUAACUUUCCUAUGCUUCGUCUCAGCAACGCAGUCCAGAAUCUGAGCAGUUUUAUAUAGAAAAGUUCUUUCAUACUAGGUUUAUGCCUUACAUCCAACUCAAGUAUCUUGUGAGCUAUGCAGAAGUUACGCAGUGGUCAUUUGUCAGUGUUCUGUGCAAUGUUUGGAACUAGGAUUUUGUAUGCUGGUGUCAACAUCUGCACGUAAGGCUUGAAGAGUUCCCUUUAAUCGUCAGUUUAAUCCAACCUUAAUGUGUUCAUUUCUUGAAUUUCCUUGUGACAUGAGCUUUUUUGCACUUUUUUGUGGAUUGAAAUCCUUGCACUGCUCAAAUGCCAAAAUCGUUUGACUCCUGUUGACCGACAUUACAAAGCACUGGUUGUUCGUAGAUAUGGCGACUAUUAUGGCAACUCACCUUUGGAGUUAACAUGUUUUGCAUCUGUAAAAUUUAUGACGGGAUUUACAGUAGAACUGUAAGCUGUGUUUAACUUUCCUUUGUAAACGCUGCAGAAACUUGUUUAUUAAUACCUCAUGUGCUUCAGUGAGUUUGAGGUGAAGCAAAUUAUACCGAAAUUAAGUUGUACGGAUAGCAACUUAACUGAUACCACGGGUACAAGUGAGUCUAGUGAGAUAUCAUCUGAUCCAAGUGAUGUGGAAGCAGAUGCUACUACCGAUAUAGGUUUGGAAGUGAACGAGACAGGAUAAAAGUAAUCUGAGAAUGUAGAUGGUGCUGUGGAUGAGGGUUUGGAAGGAAAAACAUGGGACAAUACGAAAAUUAAACUAUAUUGCAAAGCUAUUGUAAUAGAUAAAGGUUUAAGUAGGACACAAGAUUAUCCUUCUGGUAAUCUCGUUUAAAAGAAAGUCGUUGGGAAUGUUUUCUUUUGUCAAGUUGCGAAUUCUUUUUGCAUUGCCACUGUAGCUUGUGAAAGAAGGGAGUGUGCUGAACAUCGAGCUUUCUGGCGAGAUUUCUGAGCAAUACUAAGGUCCGUUCUUGCAAGGUCCAUUGCUGCCACAGAUAUGUGAAAAUUUGAUCAAAGCAGCACAGGAUCCUUGAGUAGCUGGCCUCUUUUCGUUCGUUGAGGCCUAGGACCUGGCCGGAGGAAGCUUGAUGAAAUUAGACGGCACGUGGAAUAUUACAAGCAGUCCGGUGUGCAGCAUCUUUCAAUGGAUUUUUUCGUACUCGCUUAUCUUCUACAUUGAGUGCUUAAGGAGUGGUUCAAUGCUGCAAUGGAUAAACCUUUGCAGACAGUACAGUACAGGUGGUGAAGUACCUGGAUAUUCUCGUGAUGGCAUAACCAGUGAUUCUUUAUUGAGAGCAUCCAAUUUAUGCAAGGUAUGCGGCUAACUACAGUAAGUCUCUCUCUCUCUCUCUCUCUCUCUCUCUCUAUGUGUAUUAGAAGCAAUGACAGCAAGAGUUGUUUAGCUUGAGGCAUUUACUCUGACUGGUUCGAUCGGGGUUGUGACAGUUGUGUGAGAAUAUGUCGAACUUUCUUUGUGCAUAUUUUCUGAUGUACAUUUUGAGAUGUUGGUUUUGUGACAGUAGUCCGACUAGUCUUGAUUAUCACAAUGCUGUUUCUUCUUUCUUUUUUGAGCAUGUCACAAUGAUCUAUCAUCAGGCAUAAUAUGCAGUUCUUGUCGUUUUUGUGGCACCUAAAUUCUAUUUUGCAAAUUUAUAUGAGCGAGUGGGUUUCGCGAAGGAAAUUAUCUCAAAUGGAAUGUUUACUGAGCUUGAUGCGGAUCAACGUCCUUUCAAGUAUGUUGUUAACUGAACGAAUUGGAUUGCACUCAUAGUGCAUGUUGAGGAUGACAAUGUGAUGUUCACACUCUCAGUACUCGACAUCCGAUAUGCAAGUCGAUCGGUCCAAGUUUCAAGCGUCAGCUCUCUCUGAUGAUAGAUAGUGGCUCUGCCCUUCUGUUCCUGUUCCAAUCGUCGUAGACAGGGUUAGUUCUCAGGUAUUGAGUAACCCCUCAAGACAAGGUGCUAGUUUGAGGUGCAGGCCCGAAUGGAUGUUAUCAGUACAGAUGGCGUAGGCACCGGGACUGUUUCGAGACAAGGCAGGGAACACAUUGAAAACUUGCUGAGUUUGAUGUAUUAUUAUGUAUAACAGUUAUUUCAGUUAGAUUUUGUAAAGAGGUCAUAAAAUCGACAGCAAUAUAAAAUUACAACAGAAUGCAUGUUUUUUGCAGAUUGUAUAGAAUUUAUGCGAGUGUUUUCCAGUUUUCAGUACCGACAGUUUUAACACAGAAGUUCAAAUAGCAGUAACAAAGUUCAACACGCUGGAUUUGAAGGAUGUGUAUACUUUUUGAAUAGAGGUCACAGUUGCACAUGAUCAUCAACCAUGUUACUUCUCAAAUCCUAAGUUCACUAUCGCAUGUACAGCUGCCUUGGUGCCCAACAAGAAUGAGAAAGAAUUUUUCUCUACCCGCCGAAUACGCUUUGUGAGGUCCAUAUAGCCUCACGAAGAACAAGGUUCGAAUAGCUCAAGAGUGAUAGACCACUUAACAAAGGCAAUCACAGCGGUGCGCCGCCCUUGUGCAUUAGCAAGCGGAUCUUGUCUCAAGGGUACGUGGUCGAGCACAGAUGAGCUCCUCGCUGAAGUAUUCAUCGUACCUUGAUAAACUACACUACAAGAUGGUGAAAAAGUGAACAAACAGACCGACAGACGGACACAAUUAAAAAAAUGAAAAACGCAGCGCCAUCUUCAGCACCAAGAUCUAGACACAACCGCACAAAAACAGAGGGGGGAAGAAUCAUUCAACACGCUGUGGAAGAAUCAACAACAGCAUUUGGGGAAUCAUUGAGAUGGUAAUCGAAGGCUGACCUGG